UGUAUAGAAAACAAGGAUGUAAAUGUUAGAAAAACACCAGAGCAUCCCAAAUUAAAUGAGAGCAGAAAUAAAAAUAAAAAAACAAAUUAAAUUAAUUAGCCAAUCGCAACAAUUAGGAGAAAAGUUAUCCAAUGGUGAAGCAGGCAUUUCAGCUAACUUAAUAACAAGAGACAUAAAAGAAUUGCAGAAAAAUAUAGCACGAGCCCAUCUAUGUAUGGUCGGGAUUUUGGGAAGGAGAAAAUGUAAAUAUGCGACACAUUCUAGUAUUGAGCAAACAACUCCAGAUUUCUGACAAGCAAAAUACGAACUUUGAGAAUGUGGAUUCUCGAAGUCAAAAUCGUACCUUUAUUGAUACCAUCUUUAUUUCGAAACUAUCAACGGCCUCCAAAUCCUACAAAUUCUUCAGGAAUAACAGAAAAAACACAUCAGAAGAAAUUUAAUUACAGUUUUGUAAUUAAAGAGGCCUUAAAAAAAUAUAAUCUUCAAAAAACAAGAAAUUAAAAGGCAAAAAUGGGAAAAGGAAGAAGAGGCUCAAAUUCGCCACUUCCCGAAGUUCCCCGCCUAUUGCUAGAGAAGCUGACACGCAAAGAAGAGAAGAGCAAUUUUACAAGUCACCCAUCAUCUAA
rnacentral:lncRNA from 1 species